rnacentral:misc_RNA from 1 species
UGGUCACAAUAUGGAAACUGCAGUGGCUACUUUGGCAAUGCCGGCCAGCACUAGCCUAUCUGGGUUUUCUGGGAGAUCUGACUUGCAACAUAACAUUUCACGUUUCCGCUACUCUGGGGAGAGUACAGUUCCCAUGAACAUGCAACAUGAUGGUGCUGAUACUCAACCCAUAUUUAACAGAAACCAGUCUGAAAUUGCCACAUCAAUGGCUGCGGCUGCUGCAGAUUUACCUUGCACUGUAAAGCUCAGGGUUUGGUCUCAUGAUAUACAAAAUCCCUGUGCCCCACUCAAUUCUGAAAGAUGUCGUUUAACUAUACCUCAUGCUGUCCUAUGUAGUGAAAUGGGUGCUCAUUUUUCACCUUGUGGAAGUUACUUAGCUGCCUGUGUUGCUUGCGUGCUUCCUAAUAUGGAAGCUGAGCCUGGAUUACAAACUUUAGUUCAACAAGA